CCUACGGGAGGCAGCAGUGGGGAAUAUUGCGCAAUGGGCGAAAGCCUGACGCAGCGACGCCGCGUGAGGGAUGAAGGCCUUCGGGUUGUAAACCUCUUUCAGCAGGGACGAAAUCAGACGGUACCUGCAGAAGAAGCACCGGCCAACUACGUGCCAGCAGCCGCGGUAAUACGUAGGGUGCAAGCGUUGUCCGGAAUUAUUGGGCGUAAAGAGCUCGUAGGCGGUUUGUCGCGUCGGCUGUGAAAACUCGGGGCUCAACCCCGAGCCUGCAGUCGAUACGGGCAGACUAGAGUGCUGUAGGGGAGACUGGAAUUCCUGGUGUAGCGGUGAAAUGCGCAGAUAUCAGGAGGAACACCGGUGGCGAAGGCGGGUCUCUGGGCAGUAACUGACGCUGAGGAGCGAAAGCGUGGGGAGCAAACAGGAUUAGAUACCCUGGUAGUCCACGCCGUAAACGGUGGGUGCUAGGUGUAGGUCGUAUUCCACGCGAUCUGUGCCGCAGCUAACGCAUUAAGCACCCCGCCUGGGGAGUACGGCCGCAAGGCUAAAACNCAAAGGAAUUGACGG
rnacentral:rRNA from 1 species